rnacentral:rRNA from 1 species
UACGUAGGGACCAAGCGUUGUUCGGAUUUACUGGGCGUAAAGCGCGUGUAGGCGGCUUGGCAAGUCCGCUGUGAAACUCGAAGGCUCAACCUCGAGAUGUCGGUGGAACUGCCUGGCUAGAGUCCGGAAGAGGCGAGUGGAAUUCCCGGUGUAGCGGUGAAAUGCGCAGAUAUCGGGAGGAACACCUAUGGCGAAGGCAGCUCGCUGGGACGUUACUGACGCUGAGACGCGAAAGCGUGGGGAGCAAACAGG